rnacentral:misc_RNA from 1 species
UGGUGCCAACACACGUGCAAUGAGAAGAAAUGGAGGAAAGGUUUGAAUUUAAGUUUUAGUGCAAUUGAGUGUUGUACCGCUUAAAACCUUUAAAAUUAACAAUCGUGGAUAUAUAUAUUUGCCGUACUGAGGAGAUUUUCAAUAUUUUUACUCUGUUCUAAUAUUGCACUUUUAAAAAGUUGGAGAACAAAUGGAGUGUGGAGCACAAAUGGAGAACAAUAAUAGUGCAAGUGAAGAACAAGAGAAUGAGAACAGUUUGAAAAGAUCUAUUGAUGAGGUUGAGGAUUGUGCAACAAACUCUAGUGAAAAAAAGAUAGAUGUAAAGUUAGAAUCAGCAGCAGAGAUAAGCGUCAGUUCUGUAGAACAAGCAAAGUGUCCCAGUGAAAUGGAAAUAAAUGAAACUACAGAGAGUAAAGAUGCUGAAUCAAAAAUAGAAUGGGAGAGUGAGAAGAGUAUAAAAAGAUCUAUUGAUGAAGUUGAGGAUUGUGCAACAAACCCUAGUGAAAAAAAAAUGGAUCUAAAGUUGGAAUCAGCAUACACUGCAGAGACAAGCGUCAGUUCUGUAGAACAAGUGAAGUGUCCCAGUGAAGUAAUUGAGACUAGAGAGAGUAAAGAUGCUGAAUCAAAGAUAGAUUAUAGAAGAAAAAGGAAAUGUGUGCUACUAUUGUCGUAUUGUGGGAAGGGUUACAAUGGCAUGCAAAGAAAUCCUGGAGUAAGAACAAUUGAGGAGGACCUAACCAAUGCAUUGCUUAAAGCCAGAGCAAUUUCAGAGGAUGCAUCAAGAAAUUAUUCAAUUAUGUCGUUCCAAAGAUGUGCAAGAACUGACAAAGGUGUUUCAGCAGCGCGUCAAGUUGUUUCUUUAAAGAUGGUUCCCUACAAAGAGCUAAUUCCUGAAAUCAACAAACAUUUGGAACCACAGAUACGGGUAUUUGCUUUGAAACAAGUAACGCGUGGCUUCGAUUGUAAAAGCAGAUGUUCAUCCAGGACAUACAAGUACAUUUUGCCGACAUUUGCGUUUGCACCAAGUUAUGCUCAUACAACAAAGUAUUUUAGGAUGACAGAUGAGAUCCUAGAGGAACUGAAUUUGGUACUGAAGACUUAUGAAGGCACAAAAAACUUUCAUAACUUUACAUCAGGAAAGGAUUUCAAGGAGGAAAGUGCCAAAAGAUACAUAAUUCAGUUCAAUGUGGAUGGUACACCAUUAGUGGAAGGUGACAUGGAGUUUUUAGUCCUUAAAGUUCAAGGACAAAGCUUCAUGCAACACCAAAUUAGGAAAAUGAUAGGUUUGGUUAUUGCGAUAAUGAAGAAAUUCACUGACGUGGGUGCUUUACAAAGGGCAUUCCUGCAGCCAAAGUUUUUUUACAGAUGGACGUUCCAAGAGCUCCUGGCCUUGGGCUUAUUUUAGAUCAGGUUUAUUUCAACAGUUACAAUGAAAGGUUUGGACAUGAUGGUCUUCAUGAACCAUUAGAAUGGAGACAAAAUUGAGGAAUUCCGAAA